rnacentral:lncRNA from 1 species
GGGUUUUUGACUUCUCGAGGGCUAAUUUUAAAGAGUUAAGGAAAUUAGUUAGGGAAGUGGAUUGGACGGAGGAAUUAGUGGAUUUAAAUGCGGAGGAGGCCUGGAAUUACUUUAAGUCGCAGCUGUGGAGACUGUCGGAAGCCUGCAUCCCGAGAAAGGGGAAAAAAACCAUGGGCAGGAGUUGUAGGCCAAACUGGAUGAGCAAGCAACUCAGAGAGGGGAUUAGACAAAAGCAGAAAGCUUACAGGGAGUGGAAGAAAGGCAGGAUCAGUAAGGAAAGCUACCUUGGUGAGGUCAGAACAUGUAGGGAUAAAGUGAGGAAGGCUAAAAGCCGCAUUGAACUGGACCUUGCAAAGGGAAUCAAAACCAAUAGUAAAAGGUUCUACAGCCACAUAAAUAAGAAGAAAACAAAGAAAGAAGAAGUGGGGCCGCUAUACACUGAGGAUGGAAUGGAGGUUAAGGAUAACCUAGGCAUGGCCCAACAUCUAAACAAGUACUUUGCUUCAGUUUUUAAUAAGACUAGUGAGGAACCUUGCGAUGAUGGAGGGAUGAUAAACGGGAAUGUGGAUAUGGAAGUGGAUAUUACCGCAACUGAGGUAGAGGCCGUACUUGAACAGCUCGAUGGGACGAAGUCGGAGGGCCCGGACAAUCUCCAUCCGAGGAUAUUAAAGGAACUGGCGCAUGAAAUUGCGAGCCCGUUAGCGAGAAUUUUUAAGCAAUCGAUAAACUCGGGGGUUGUGCCGUAUGACUGGAGGAUUGCUAAUGUAGUUCCUAUUUUUAAGAAAGGGAAUAAAAGUGAUCCGGGUAAUUAUAGGCCUGUUAGCUUGACGUCUGUAGUAUGCAAGGUCUUGGAAAAAAUUUUAAGGGAGAAAGUAGUUAAGGACAUAGAGGUCAAUGGUAAUUGGGACGAAUUGCAACACGGAUUUAGUAAAGGUAGAUCGUGUCAAACCAAUCUGAUCUCCUUCUUUGAGAAGGUGACGGAUUACUUAGAUAAAGGAAAUGCGGUAGAUAUAAUUUACCUAGAUUUCAGUAAGGCGUUCGACACGGUUCCGCACGGGGAACUGUUAGUCAAAUUGGAAAAGAUGG